rnacentral:misc_RNA from 1 species
GAAAUGCGAUAAGUAGUGUGAAUUGCAGAAUUUAGCGAAUCAUCGAAUCUUUAAACGCACAUUGCGCCCCUUGGUAUUCCAUGGGGCAUGCCUGUUCGAGCGUCAUUUCAACCCUCAAGCACUGCUUGGUGUUGGGCGUUUGUCCCGCCUACGCGCGUGGACUCGCCUCAAAGUCAUUGGCAGCUGUUCCCCUUCGGCUCGUAAGCGCAGCACAGUCGGCGCCCGGAGCUCUGGUGGGAUGGCGUCCAGCAAGCUAUAUUUUCAGGCUUGACCUCGGAUCAGGUAGGGAUACCCGCUGAACUUAAGC